rfam:Pseudomonas sp. BRH_c35 BRHa_1001714, whole genome shotgun sequence.
CGGGUUACACUCCUGGAUGUUACCGUUUCAUCCGGUCGAAACCGGACUGGAUUUGGUGUCUGAUUCGGUACGAAUCGGGAGCACCUCUGCGUAGGCUUGCGGUUUAAGGCUUUCGCCGCCUACGGUCUUGGAUAGCCCCCGCCAGGCAGGGACCCCAAUCUUUGCAGGCGCCCUCGAAGGGGCGCCG